AUGGCCAACAAGGAGGAGGGUCAGAGCCAGCAGCAGCAGCUACAGUGGCAGCGGGGGCAGUGGUGGCAGCAGCAGCUCACCAACCUGCAGAUGGCUGCUAGCUCAGAUGGCAGUGGGCACUGGCUAUCAUGUGCCCGGUCUAUGUGGGUUCCAUCUACUAUGAGCUGGGAGAAGACACUAUUCGCCAGGCCUUUGUUCCCUUUGGCCCCAUCAAGAGCAGGUCCUGGAAUUCCGUUACCACGAAGCAUAAGGGCUUUGCCUUUGUGCAGUACGAGGUCCCAGAAGCUGCACAGCUGACAUUGGAGCAGAUGAACUCUGUGAUGCUUGGGGGGAGGAACGUCAAGGUGGGAAGACCCAGCAACAUCGGAGAAGCCCAACCCAUCAUAGACCAGCUGGGUGAGGAGACUAGGGCUUUCAACCAAAUAUACGUGGCCUCUGUACAUCAGGACCUGUCUGAUGAUGACAUCAAGAGUGUGUUUGAAGCCUUUGGCAAGAUCAAGUCUUGUACGCUGGCCCGGGACCCCACGACCUACAAGCACAAGGGCUAUGGUUUUAUCGAAUAUGAGAAGGCACAGUCGUCCCAGGAUGCUGUGCCCUCCAUGAACCUCUUUGAUCUGGAUGGCCAGUACUUGAGGGUAGGCAAGGCCGUCACACCCACCAUGCCCCUGCUAACACCUGCCACUCCACAGAUGCAGCCACAGCCAAGAUUACAGCUCAGGAAGCAGUGGCUGGAGCAGCAGUGCUGGGUACUUUAGCCACACCUGGACUAGUGUCCCCAGCACUGACACUGGCCCAGCCCUUAGGGGCCCUACCCCAGGCUGUCAUGGCUGUCCAGGCCCCUGGAGUCAUCACAGGUGUGAGACCAGCCACCGUCCUAUUCUGGUCACCAUCCCCUCUGUGGGAGUGGUGAACCCCAUCCUAGCCAGCCCUCCAACGUUGGGUCUGUUGGAGCCCAAGAAGAAGGAAGAGGAGCUGUUUCCUGAGUCAGAGCAGCCAGAGAUGCUGAGUGAGUAGGAGCACAUGAGCAUCUCUGGUAACAGUGCUCGCCACACGGUCAUGCAAAAGCUACUCAGAAAACAGGAGUCUACAGUGAUGGUUCUCCGAAACAUGGAGGACCCCAAGGCCAUCGAUGAUGACCUGGCGGGAGAGGUGACAGAGGAGUGUGACAAAUUUGGUGCUGUGAACCGGGUCAUUAUCUACUAAGAAAAACAGGGCGAAGAGGAAGAUGCAGAAAUCAUAGUCAAGAUUUUUGUGGAAUUUUCCAUGGCCUCAGAGACUCACAGGCCAUCCGGGCCCUCAGUGGGUGCUGAUUUGGUGAUCGCAAGGCUGAAGUGUAUGACCAGGAGCGUUUUGAUAACAACGACCUCUCUGAGUGA